ensembl:antisense Gm17206 predicted gene 17206
CGGCCAUGACAGUCAUCAACUUUCAGAAAUACCUAGCCGUCCUUCCCAUAGAAUGUCUUUCUCCACUGCUUAUGUGACCUUUCAGCGAUUACUUGGCCACUUGCAGGCUCAGUCUCCCCUGCUCUCACAGGGCCUCGUGUGAGGCAAUGGAAGAGUCUGUGAGACACUGGACACGCCAAGCAUCAGCCUGGCAUAGGCCCCAUGCCAUCCCCUGGUAAUAACAGACAGUCAGUAUGUUCUCCAUUUCCUACGGAUUCAGCCACAGCUGCCCUCCCCCCGAACUCAGGUUCCGCCUUAGGCUGACUCACCAAAACUGUGGCCCAGGAGGGUGAACUGAUUCCACUUAAAGGCUGAAAACACAAAGGCAGAAAGGAGGUUUGCACAGCCCAGCCUUACUCUGUCCUUUAUCCCUGUGCCCUGGGGCUUGGGACUCCCUCCAAAGACCUGCAGCAGCCCCACCCUGACCCCCACACGACCCCUGCAGGAGACCCACUAGGACCCACUAGCUUCACUGUGGGAUGCUCCUAGCGGAAGAGCAGGCUCUUUUCAGGGGCCAGGAAACCGGAAGCAGAAACCC